GCAAACCUUUAAAAGUUAUGGGAUCUCAGUUAAUGAGAUAGUUGAAACAUUAUAUCAUAAAUUGCAGAUUCUUUUUAUGGAUAAUGAUUUUCCCAACUACAUCUAAGGACUAAAAUUAUUCCCCUGUACUUAUACAUAAUUUUUGUUUUCAUUACGCACAUAUUACAAACAACUUAUACAUCAUAUAUUUAAACAAAUUAACAUACAAAAAC
rnacentral:misc_RNA from 1 species